rnacentral:rRNA from 1 species
UACGUAGGGUGCGAGCGUUGUCCGGAAUUAUUGGGCGUAAAGGGCUCGUAGGCGGUUUGUCGCGUCGGGAGUGAAAACCUUGGGCUUAACUCAGGGCUUGCUUUCGAUACGGGCAGACUAGAGGUAUGCAGGGGAGAACGGAAUUCCUGGUGUAGCGGUGAAAUGCGCAGAUAUCAGGAGGAACACCGGUGGCGAAGGCGGUUCUCUGGGCAUGAUAUGACGCUGAGGAGCGAAAGUGUGGGGAGCGAACAGG